GGCGACUUGAUGUAGUGGUUAUCAUGCCUUCUUCACAUUUCAUAUGUUCACACGGAGGAUGUCGUGAGUUCGAUCCUCACAGUUGUCA